rnacentral:rRNA from 1 species
GGGUUGUGAGGUUAAGUGACUAAGCGUACACGGUGGAUGCCUAGGCAGUCAGAGGCGAUGAAGGGCGUGCUAAUCUGCGAAAAGCGUCGGUAAGGUGAUAUGAACCGUUACAACCGGCGAUACCCGAAUGGGGAAACCCAGUGUGUUUCGACACACUAUCAUGUCAUGAAUACAUAGUGGCAUGAGGCGAACCGGGGGAACUGAAACAUCUAAGUACCCCGAGGAAAAGAAAUCAACCGAGAUUCCCCCAGUAGCGGCGAGCGAACGGGGAGGAGCCCAGAACCUGAAUCGGCUUGUGUGUUAGUGGAAGCGUCUGGAAAGUCGCGCAGUAAAGGGUGAUAGCCCCGUACACUAAAAUGCACAGGUCGUGAGUUCGAUGAGUAGGGCGGGACACGUGACAUCCUGUCUGAAUAUGGGGGGACCAUCCUCCAAGGCUAAAUACUCCUGACUGACCGAUAGUGAACCAGUACCGUGAGGGAAAGGCGAAAAGAACCCCGGCGAGGGGAGUGAAAUAGAACCUGAAACCGUGUACGUACAAGCAGUGGGAGCACCUUCGUGGUGUGACUGCGUACCUUUUGUAUAAUGGGUCAGCGACUUAUAUUUUGUAGCAAGGUUAACCGUAUAGGGGAGCCGUAGGGAAACCGAGUCUUAACUGGGCGAAUAGUUGCAAGGUAUAGACCCGAAACCCGGUGAUCUAGCCAUGGGCAGGUUGAAGGUUGGGUAACACUAACUGGAGGACCGAACCGACUAAUGUUGAAAAAUUAGCGGAUGACUUGUGGCUGGGGGUGAAAGGCCAAUCAAACCGGGAGAUAGCUGGUUCUCCCCGAAAGCUAUUUAGGUAGCGCCUCGUGAACUCAUCUUCGGGGGUAGAGCACUGUUUCGGCUAGGGGGCCAUCCCGGCUUACCAAACCGAUGCAAACUCCGAAUACCGAAGAAUGUUAUCACGGGAGACACACGGCGGGUGCUAACGUCCGUCGUGAAGAGGGAAACAACCCAGACCGCCAGCUAAGGUCCCAAAGUCAUGGUUAAGUGGGAAACGAUGUGGGAAGGCAUAGACAGCCAGGAUGUUGGCUUAGAAGCAGCCAUCAUUUAAAGAAAGCGUAAUAGCUCACUGGUCGAGUCGGCCUGCGCGGAAGAUGUAACGGGGCUAAACCAUGCACCGAAGCUGCGGCAGCGACGCUUAGGCGUUGUUGGGUAGGGGAGCGUUCUGUAAGCCGUUGAAGGUGGCCUGUGAGGGUUGCUGGAGGUAUCAGAAGUGCGAAUGCUGACAUAAGUAACGAUAAAGCGGGUGAAAAGCCCGCUCGCCGGAAGACCAAGGGUUCCUGUCCAACGUUAAUCGGGGCAGGGUGAGUCGACCCCUAAGGCGAGGCUGAAAAGCGUAGUCGAUGGGAAACAGGUUAAUAUUCCUGUACUUGGUGUUACUGCGAAGGGGGGACGGAGAAGGCUAGGCUAGCCGGGCGACGGUUGUCCCGGUUUAAGCGUGUAGGGGGUGUGACCUGGUAAAUCCGGUUACAUACUAACCCUGAGGCGUGAUGACGAUGCACUACGGUGCAGAAGUAGUUGAUGCCCUGCUUCCAGGAAAAGCCUCUAAGCUCUAGGUAACAUUGAAUCGUACCCCAAACCGACACAGGUGGUCAGGUAGAGAAUACCAAGGCGCUUGAGAGAACUCGGGUGAAGGAACUAGGCAAAAUGGUGCCGUAACUUCGGGAGAAGGCACGCUGGCAUGUAGGUGAAGUCCUUCGCGGAUGGAGCUGAAGCCAGUCGAAGAUACCAGCUGGCUGCAACUGUUUAAUAAAAACACAGCACUGUGCAAACACGAAAGUGGACGUAUACGGUGUGACGCCUGCCCGGUGCUGGAAGGUUAAUUGAUGGGGUCAGCCGCAAGGCGAAGCUCUUGAUCGAAGCCCCAGUAAACGGCGGCCGUAACUAUAACGGUCCUAAGGUAGCGAAAUUCCUUGUCGGGUAAGUUCCGACCUGCACGAAUGGCGUAAUGAUGGCCAGGCUGUCUCCACCCGAGACUCAGUGAAAUUGAACUCGCUGUGAAGAUGCAGUGUACCCGCGGCAAGACGGAAAGACCCCGUGAACCUUUACUAUAGCUUGACACUGAACAUUGAGCCUUGAUGUGUAGGAUAGGUGGGAGGCUUUGAAGCGUGGACGCCAGUCUGCGUGGAGCCAUCCUUGAAAUACCACCCUUUAAUGUUUGAUGUUCUAACUCGGCCCCGUGAUCCGGGGUGAGGACAGUGUCUGGUGGGUAGUUUGACUGGGGCGGUCUCCUCCCAAAGAGUAACGGAGGAGCACGAAGGUUAGCUAAUCACGGUCGGACAUCGUGAGGUUAGUGCAAAGGCAUAAGCUAGCUUGACUGCGAGAGUGACGGCUCGAGCAGGUACGAAAGUAGGUCUUAGUGAUCCGGUGGUUCUGAAUGGAAGGGCCAUCGCUCAACGGAUAAAAGGUACUCCGGGGAUAACAGGCUGAUACCGCCCAAGAGUUCAUAUCGACGGCGGUGUUUGGCACCUCGAUGUCGGCUCAUCACAUCCUGGGGCUGAAGUAGGUCCCAAGGGUAUGGCUGUUCGCCAUUUAAAGUGGUACGCGAGCUGGGUUUAGAACGUCGUGAGACAGUUCGGUCCCUAUCUGCCGUGGGCGUUGGAAGAUUGAGAGGGGUUGCUCCUAGUACGAGAGGACCGGAGUGAACGCACCACUGGUGUUCGGGUUGUCAUGCCAAUGGCAUUGCCCGGUAGCUAAGUGCGGAAAAGAUAAGCGCUGAAAGCAUCUAAGCGCGAAACUUGCCUCAAGAUGAGUCUUCCCUGGGCCUUCAAGGCCCCUGAAGGAACGUUUAAGACUAAGACGUUGAUAGGCUGGGUGUGUAAGUGCAGCGAUGCAUUGAGCUAACCAGUACUAAUGAUCCGUGAGGCUUAACCUUACAACACCGAAGGUGUUU